GGCCUGUGAUGCAUCAAUUUGUCCGUACCAUCUGAGAUUUCUCUGAUCGAUACUCCAUUUUCUGAAUCUG
rnacentral:snoRNA from 12 species